rnacentral:rRNA from 1 species
GAUGAACGCUGGCGGCGUGCUUAACACAUGCAAGUCGAACGGAAAGGCUCCUGCUUGCAGGGGUACUCGAGUGGCGAACGGGUGAGUAACACGUGGGUGAUCUGCCCUGCACUUCGGGAUAAGCCUGGGAAACUGGGUCUAAUACCGGAUAGGACGAUGGUUGGAUGCCAUUGUGGAAAGUUUUUUCGGUGUGGGAUGAGCUCGCGGCCUAUCAGCUUGUUGGUGGGGUAAUGGCCUGCCAAGGCGUCGACGGGUAGCCGGCCUGAGAGGGUGUACGGCCACAUUGGGACUGAGAUACGGCCCAGACUCCUACGGGAGGCAGCAGUGGGGAAUAUUGCACAAUAAGCGCAAGCCUGAUGCAGCGACGCCGCGUGGGGGAUGACGGCCUUCGGGUUGUAAACUCCUUUCGCUAGGGACGAAGCGCAAGUGACGGUACCUGGAGAAGAAGCACCGGCUAACUACGUG